rnacentral:lncRNA from 1 species
UGGUACUAGAUAGUAUCUCUACUCCUUCACCACCGCAGCCAUGAGUCACUCCACGCAGCAUAGGGCUCCCGGCGGUGAACAGGCGCCGUUCGUCUGCCCCUAUUGCUCUGCGGAGGUGUACGUCUACCGGUCAAACACCUCUCGCAAUCCAAAUAGAUAUUUUUUUCAAGUGUGUGAACCAUCCGGUAAGUACAAAACUUUCGAAUCUGAAAAAAUAAGUCCAGCAUGGCUGAUCUUGAUAAUCAAGUGCCAAUGUCGCAGGAUUGCCCUUUCUGGCGUUGGGCCGAUGAGUACAAUCCAGCUCCGCCUCCAGCACCACACUUCGCAGGCAACGUUCUGCGUACUGCCGGACAAGGAGCGGAACUCGUUGGCAUGGUCGAGCUUCUUCGCAUGUUGAACUCGUCACUAUGGAUAGUUCUCGCCAUUGUGCUGUCAUAUCUAGUGUUAAAGUCUUAGAUGUGGGCGAGCCAAUGUGAUGGUCAUAUGUACCCCCUUCAUUCACUUUCAUUAGCGUUGUUGUACCCGCCCGCCUCAUCUGACCUAGAAAUUUAUGUUUUGCAUGUCCUUAUUCCACCCCAAUUAUCCUGUACCCGCUUCGACUUAUAUUUUUAAUUCAAGCAUGUUUUAUCAGUUAAUCACAUGAAAUGCACAAUUAUUGUUCAGUAAAGAAGCAAUAAAAAAGCAGCAUAAUGGAAGCAAUUCUGAAUAAUGAAAAUACCAGGGUAAUUUAAAACAUUG